GUGUCUGACCUUGUUUACAUACCAGACUGACAGUCGGCUGCUCGUGCAGUUUCGGUUUUUUCCGUGAGUGACGAAAGCGGCUUAUUAGUGGGCAGAGCUCGCGACCAUCUUGCCUCAACUCUUCUGGGAAGACGUUCCACAAGGUUUAUGAGUGUUUAUGGGAAUUUUUGAGCAUUCUUCCAGAAGAACAUUUGUGAGGCUUGUCCAUCAGAAUGCCAAAUGGGGAAGCGUGAUUCGUCACUCCAGAGAACACACCUCCACCGCUCUAGAGUCCAGUGACGGCAAGCUUUACACCACUGCAUCUGACACUUUGCAUUGCGUUUGGUAAUGUAAGGCUUGGCUGCAGCUGCUCAGCCAUGGAAACCCAUUCAAUGAAGCUCUCUACACACCGAUCUUGAGCUAACCUGAAGGCCAGAUGAAGUUUGGAGGACGUACUAUGUUCCUCAGCAUCUGCUGACCCCACUCUGUGGUUUAACAUGGGCUACCACUUUGUGACUGAGUUGCUGUCGUUGUAACAAAGUUGUUUCCACUUUGUUAUAAUACUGCUAACAGCUGACUGUGGAAUAAUUAAUAGUGAGGAAAUUUCAUGAGUCAAUUUGUUGCACAGGUGACAUCCUAUGACAGUACCACUCUAAAGCUCACUGAGCCCCUGAAAGCGACCAAUCCUUUAAUAAAUGUUUGUA